rnacentral:rRNA from 1 species
CCUACGGGAGGCAGCAGUAGGGAAUAUUGCACAAUGGGGGAAACCCUGAUGCAGCAACGCCGCGUGGAGGAAGAAGGAAUUCGUUAUGUAAAGCUCUAUCAUCAGAGAAGAAAAUGACGGUACCUGAGGAAGAAGCACCGGCUAACUACGUGCCAGCAGCCGCGGUAAUACGUAGGGUGCAAGCGUUAUCCGGAUUUACUGGGUGUAAAGAGCGCGUAGACGGCAUAGCAAGUCUGAUGUGAAAGGCGAUGGCUCAACCAUCGGACUGCUUUGGAAACUGUACGGCUAGAGUGCAGGAGAGGUAAGUGGAAUUCUUGGUGUAGCGGUGAAAUGCGUAGAUAUUAAGAGGAAUACUCGUGGCGAAGGCGGCUUACUAGAACGUAACUGACGUUGAGGCUCGAAAGCGUGGGGAGCAAACAGGAUUAGAUACCCUUGUAGUC